rnacentral:rRNA from 1 species
AUGGACACCAGUACUCCUUCAAAGUCUGGGACGAGCUUCCUCAAAACUUGCUUCAAUGGAGUUAACGCCCUCUCAGGGGUUGGGAUAUUAUCGAUUCCUUAUGCAUUGUCUCAAGGAGGAUGGCUGAGCGUACUUAUGUUCACAACUAUAGCAGUUAUCUGCUUCUACACUGGGAUUCUCAUACAGAGAUGCAUAGAUUCAAGCUCACUUGUUAAGACCUAUCCUGAUAUAGGUGAACUGGCUUUUGGCCGGAAAGGAAGAAUCAUAGUAGCAAUAUUCAUGUACCUGGAGCUGUACCUUGUGGCAAUCGAUUUCAUGAUACUGGAAGGUGAUAACUUGGAGAAAUUAUUUCCAAGUGUCGACUUCCAUGUUGCUGGACUCAAGAUUGGAGGCAAGCAAGGGUUUGUUCUGAUUUUCAGUCUGUUGGUUUUGCCAACGACAUGGUUUCGGAGCUUAAGUGCGCUUGCGUACGUCUCUGUUGGAGGAAUCAUGGCCUCCGUUAUUCUCAUCGCUGCUGUUAUCUGGGUAGGAGCAUUUGAUGGUGUUGGCUUCCACGAGAGAGGCGUGCUUGUCCACUGGGCUGGUAUUCCAACUGCCAUGAGCUUAUACUCAUUCUGUUUCAGCGGUCAUGCUGUUUUCCCCAUGAUAUACACUGGAAUGAGCAACAGAAAAAUGUUCCCAACAGUUCUGCUCCUCUGCUUCAUCAUCUGCACUCUCAGCUACGGACUGAUGGGCGUCGUCGGGUACCUGAUGUACGGCGAGUCACUGAAGUCCCAGGUGACGCUGAACCUCCCGUCGAGGAACCUGAGCUCCAGCAUCGCCAUCUACACCACGCUGAUCAACCCGUUCACCAAGUUCGCGCUGCUGGUCACCCCGAUAGCGGAGGCGAUCGAGGACACCCUCCACGUCGGCAAGAACAAGGCCGUCAGCGUCUCCAUCAGGACCUCGCUGGUCGUCAGCACGACCAUCGUGGCGCUCGUCGUGCCCUACUUCGCCUACGCGGUCGCGCUCACCGGCUCGUUCCUGAGCGGCACCGCCACGAUGCUGCUGCCGUGCAUCUGCUACCUGAAGAUCAGGUCCAGGACCUGCAGGAAGGUCGGGUUCGAGCAGGUGGUGUGCGUGGGCAUCAUCGUCGUCGGGGUAGGGCUUGUGGUCGUGGGCACCUCCAGCUCACUGAAGCAGAUCAUCCAGAGCUUGUGA